rnacentral:lncRNA from 1 species
CCGGGUCGUCACAUAUUAGCUACGAGGAAAUUCCACAUUCUUCUUGAUUUGAGAUAAAGCACUAUUCCGUGAAAUGACAUGAUGUCCUUUGUCAGAGAACAGUCUGAUACUAAGAAAUUGUGUGCUUUGACUCUUCCAAGAAAUAUGUGCUUCCAUGAUGACAUUCCAUCAAAACAAGCAUGUCCCGUAAGAGAAUCUUCGUUGUCAUCUUCCAAAGAUUAUUGACGGAACUGCUCACACGAUCACAUAUGCUAACAGGGUACUUUUUGUGAAUCAUAUGAUUUCAGCUACUCAGCAAACAGAGUGCACCAAAAAUCAUAUGGAACAUAUGUAACCUGCAAUCACAAAUGGAAAGAGUUCUAUGGUCCCCAAUCAUAACUGGGUCCGGAUGGAUUAGAGAUUUUUCUUUAACAAUGGUAACAACAGAAGCAACCUUAACAUGCUAAUUCUUAUUUAGACAUUGCCCUAAUGUGAUUCUCAAACAUGCUUUUCUAAAAUCAAUGCAAGUACAAAGACAUGCAUUCAUGACAUGAAAAUAAGCAGACAUGAUGUUGAAUACACAUGGCAAACAAUCAAAGAUAAGACAAGAGCAAGACAGGCAGUUAUGCAAUUCAGAAGAUUCAGUACUCUCUACUUAAACCAAUUAACACAAGUGCAACAGGUAUAAAGUAGAAUUACAUAUAUUCAAUAAUCU